rnacentral:rRNA from 1 species
AUUGAACGCUGGCGGAAUGCUUUACACAUGCAAGUCGAACGGCAGCACGGGAGCUUGCUCCUGGUGGCGAGUGGCGAACGGGUGAGUAACAUAUCGGAACGUACCCAGUCGUGGGGGAUAACUAUCCGAAAGGAUAGCUAAUACCGCAUACGUCCUGAGGGAGAAAGCGGGGGAUCGCAAGACCUCGCGCGAUUGGAGCGGCCGAUAUCGGAUUAGCUAGUUGGUGGGGUAAAGGCUCACCAAGGCGACGAUCCGUAGCGGGUCUGAGAGGACGACCCGCCACACUGGAACUGAGACACGGUCCAGACUCCUACGGGAGGCAGCAGUGGGGAAUUUUGGACAAUGGGGGCAACCCUGAUCCAGCCAUUCCGCGUGAGUGGAGAAGGCCUUCGGGUUGUAAAGCUCUUUCAGCAGGAACGAAACGGUCGGCUUUAAUAAAAUCGGCUAAUGACGGUACCUGCAGAAGAAGCACCGGCUAACUACGUG